AUGAGAGUGCCUGGAAAUGAACGUGCUUUUACUGUAAGCCCGGCCGGAGGAAUUCCAUUCCCUCAGCUCGUUUGCAUAGGGGCGGCCGGCGGCCAAUCACAGGCCUUUCCGGUAUCAGCCAGGGCGCGGCUCGCGGCCGCCGGCUCCUGGAAUUGGCCCGCGCGCCCCCGCCGCCGCGCUACUCUACGCAGCCCGGGAGGGGAGUCGGCUGCCACCCCGCGCCGCCCGCGCCCCCGCACCCACGCCUGCAUGCUGGCCCGGGGCCCCGCCCGCGUGCGGACCCUUCCCGCAGCCACACGCGGGCUUGUGCGGCUCCGCGAGUGGACACGGUCCGGAGACCUGGGAAAAGAAAGCAGGCCCCGCCGGCCCGAGGAGGGCCCGGCUCCGCGACCCGCUGCAGGCAGUCGCAGUGGCCGCCACGAGGCUCCCGAACCGGGGCUGCAGCCCGCGGGCGGCCCCAGAUGCUGCGCGGCUGCCCAGGGCCAGGCCUCCGCUUCCAGGGCGCGGGUGCGACUCGGCCGCGGGGCCUUGGGGAGCCGCCCCGCGCUCCUGCACCGUCCGGCUGGCAGCUGCGGCGAAGCAGCGCUGAUUCACUGCAUGAGGCCGGACGGCGUCCGCGCGUGCCGUUUGCUCUCAGCGUCUUCCCUCGGGUCGGUUUCUGUAAUGGGUGUUUUUUACCGCUACGCCUGGGCUGCGGCUCGAUCCCGCCGCGCGCCUCACCCUUGCUGUGUGCGCCAGCGGCCCGCGAGGAGUUUCCUAGUCAGGAAAGACCCCAAGAACGCGCGACUGGAAGGAAAGUUGAAAGCAGCCGCGCGACUUGCUCCCGGGCCUCGUAGCGCCGGCCCCGCAGCAGCCGGACAGCUCGCCCGGGCCCCGCGUCUCCCCUCAGGCUCCCCGGAAGCGGCCCCCGUUCUCUCCCCGGCCCCGCGCGCGCGAGCGGCCCCAGGUGAAAACCCACCCCGGCUUCGCGCGCGGGCGGCCGCUUCCCCCUGCGCAGGUCCCCGUGGCGCUGCGGGCAUUUUCGCGGAGCUCCGAGGGCCCCGCCCCCAGCCCGGCGCGCGCGGCCAACUCCGACCCCACCCGGUGGGGCCCUCCACGCCCUCCCUGCCGGGCUCUGCACCUCCCGGGGCCUCUCAUUCACCCCGGGGCUGCGACCCAGUCCAGGGACUGGGACCCAGCUCCACCACGGGCUUCUUUGCGGUUCCCGCGGAGCCCCUCAAUUCAGCUACCCGCGCGGGGGUUCCUUGCCCAACCCCACGGGGCCCCUGA
rnacentral:lncRNA from 1 species